AAUACAGUGAAACUUGUCUAAGAAGACCACCCUGGGGACCAGUGCAAAGUGGUCGUUUUAGACACGUGGUCUUCUUGUGCAAAGAAAGAAAAAGUGACAAGAUAGGACAGACACAAUGAUUUCAAAUUAAUUCCACGAACCUGUACAUUUGCACGUGAUAAUAUUAUCACUGUUGAACUGUCUAUCUGUAUGAUUCAUAUAGUAUUGUUAUACCAACUCAUGUAAAAUUGAAACGUUUUCAAAAUUUAGGGCUAUUCUUUCACAUUUUCGUAGCUUUUUGUAGCAGGAGCAGCGUCAUUUUUCCCGCCGGCAUUGUCUGUCAAAAACUUGUGAAUGGGCGACACCGUCAAGACAAUGGUCCAUAUUGCUACAAAAACAUCGCUGUUUUCAGUGGAGAACCCGACGCCCCACGAGCGUUUUGAAAUGCGAUUUUCGUGUUAACAACGCUAAUUGCCUAUCUUUUUACUUUGUGAAUCACAGCCAACGGGCCAGAAAUAAGUUGGGGAGCUUACCGCCAUAACAAAAAGCAUGCGCACACAUGCCCGACAAGACGGGAACCUUCUUUCAAAUCGGCAGCACGGCAGAAAAAUAAAUGGUUCAUUUCAACGCUGUUACCCAUGAAAAUAAUGUGGGUGAGUUUGUUUCUCUUCUGGCGCGGGUCUUAAAGUCUCAACGCUGCCUAGAAGGCGAAAAUUUGCCGAGAAAAACAAGUUUAACCCCACCGACGCUUCUAAUCAUGAAGAUGUUGACAAAUGGACGCUUCACUAGAAGCAAGGGUGAGCAGUUUCUCAAAAAGACACACAUACACCUUUUAUUCUCUGAUAAAACGUGUUAUAAAGUCAUAAAGAUAUCUUAUAUCUGUUACCUUUACUUCAAACAAGUUUUAUGAAAAUAAAUUUGCAUUUAGUACGGUUUAAAUGUAGAGUACAAUAACAACGCACGCAACAUUUCUACCUACACUUCAGUGGACUUUCCCAAUGACAUCGUUUGACCUCUUGGGCGCCAUGUUUGAUUUUGGCUCGGCGCGAUAACAGAACCAAAACACACAGAUUUUGCCGUAAUUUCCCAGCAGUUAUGAUAAAAAAUCGAUGUUGUUAUACCCUUGAAAAUAACGCAGUGGUUUCGGUAACAUUUUAGUUGUCAAAACACAAGCCAAUUUUAGCGAUAUUUCUUGCGAGUUAUCAUCAAAUAUCGACAGUUUCUACUGUCUUGAAAAUGACGCAGUCGUUUCGGCAAGUUUUCUUCGCCAAAACACAAGCCGAUUUUAGCGGAUUUCCCGCCAGAUAUCAUCAAAAAUCGAGGCCGCUACACACUUGAAAAUGACGCGGUCGUCUUCGGCAACAUUUCGGUCGCGGGCGGACCGGAUUCGGGGUGGUCGCGGUCACAGAAGACAAGUGGUCGCUUUGGCCACGUUGCUUAAUGCUUGUGUCUAUGGGGAGGAAAAUCGGGACCGGCCAAAAGCGGUCGUAAUAGGCCGAUGGUCGUCUUACGGACGUGGUCGCUUAUACAAGUUUCACUGUACAUG